rnacentral:misc_RNA from 1 species
AAGUCGUAACAAGGUCUCCGUAGGUGAACCUGCGGAGGGAUCAUUACAAAACAGCACGCCUGUCUUCGGACGGGUUCGCUACCAACCCUUUGUUUUCCAAACCUCGUUGCCUCCGGGGCGACCCUGACCUCCGGGUCACGGGGGACCCCGGGUGGACAUUCAAACUCUGCGUAACUUUGCAGUCUGAGUAAAACAAGUUAAUAAAUUAAAACUUUCAACAACGGAUCUCUUGGUUCUG